rnacentral:rRNA from 1 species
AUUGAACGCUGGCGGCAGGCUUAACACAUGCAAGUCGAGCGGAUGAAGAGAGCUUGCUCUCUGAUUCAGCGGCGGACGGGUGAGUAAUGCCUAGGAAUCUGCCUGGUAGUGGGGGACAACGUUUCGAAAGGAACGCUAAUACCGCAUACGUCCUACGGGAGAAAGUGGGGGAUCUUCGGACCUCACGCCAUCAGAUGAGCCUAGGUACGAUUAGCUAGUUGGUGAGGUAAAGGCUCACCAAGGCGACGAUCGUUAACUGGUCUGAGAGGAUGAUCAGUCACCAUGGAACUGAGACACGGUCCAGACUCCUACGGGAGGCAGCAGUGGGGAAUAUUGGACAAUGGGCGAAAGCCUUAUCCAGCCAUGCCGCGUGUGUGAAGAAGGUCUUCGGAUUGUAAAGCACUUUAAGUUGGGAGGAAGGGCAGUAAGUUAAUACCUUGCUGUUUUGACGUUACCGACAGAAUAAGCACCGGCUAACUUCGUGCCAGCCGCCGCGGUAACAC